UGGGGAAUAUUGGACAAUGGGCGAAAGCCUGAUCCAGCAAUGCCGCGUGAGUGAUGAAGGCCUUAGGGUUGUAAAGCUCUUUUACCCGGGAUGAUAAUGACAGUACCGGGGGAAUAAGCUCCGGCUAACUCCGUGC
rnacentral:rRNA from 1 species